rnacentral:rRNA from 1 species
AGACCCGAAACCCGGUGAUCUAGCCAUGGGCAGGUUGAAGGUUGGGUAACACUAACUGGAGGACCGAACCGACUAAUGUUGAAAAAUUAGCGGAUGACCUGUGGCUGGGGGUGAAAGGCCAAUCAAACCGGGAGAUAGCUGGUUCUCCCCGAAAGCUAUUUAGGUAGCGCCUCGUGAAUUCAUCUCCGGGGGUAGAGCACUGUUUCGGCUAGGGGGCCAUCCCGGCUUACCAACCCGAUGCAAACUGCGAAUACCGGAGAAUGUUAUCACGGGAGACACACGGCGGGUGCUAACGUCCGUCGUGAAGAGGGAAACAACCCAGACCGCCAGCUAAGGUCCCAAAGUCAUGGUUAAGUGGGAAACGAUGUGGGAAGGCCCAGACAGCCAGGAUGUUGGCUUAGAAGCAGCCAUCAUUUAAAGAAAGCGUAAUAGCUCACUGGUCGAGUCGGCCUGCGCGGAAGAUGUAACGGGGCUAAACCAUGCACCGAAGCUGCGGCAGCGAACGUAUCACCCAAGACAACUUUACGGAGUUGACGAUUGACGGAGCGAAGCGACGUCAAAGCGUUCAUUAAAGUCGAGUUGGCUUAGGGAUACGUUCGUUGGGUAGGGGAGCGUUCUGUAAGCCUGUGAAGGUGUGUCGUGAGGCAUGCUGGAGGUAUCAGAAGUGCGAAUGCUGACAUAAGUAACGAUAAAGCGGGUGAAAAGCCCGCUCGCCGGAAGACCAAGGGUUCCUGUCCAACGUUAAUCGGGGCAGGGUGAGUCGACCCCUAAGGCGAGGCCGAAAGGCGUAGUCGAUGGGAAACGGGUUAAUAUUCCCGUACUUGGUGUUACUGCGAAGGGGGGACGGAGAAGGCUAUGUUGGCCGGGCGACGGUUGUCCCGGUUUAAGCGUGUAGGUGUGUGUUCCAGGUAAAUCCGGUUCACUUUAACACUGAGGCGUGACGACGAGGCACUACGGUGCUGAAGCAACAAAUGCCCUGCUUCCAGGAAAAGCCUCUAAGCAUCAGGUAACAUCAAAUCGUACCCCAAACCGACACAGGUGGUCAGGUAGAGAAUACCAAGGCGCUUGAGAGAACUCGGGUGAAGGAACUAGGCAAAAUGGUGCCGUAACUUCGGGAGAAGGCACGCUGACACGUAGGUGAAGUGAUUUACUCAUGGAGCUGAAGUCAGUCGAAGAUACC